CACAAUGUGUGAUUAUACUGUAUAGAGCUGGUGAGGGGAGUGUGUCAAGGCGUGCAUGAUGCCACACAAUGUGCCUGGAGAGAUUGAUGUUUUUGUCAUCCACCUGCUUCAAAGCUGUAAAGAGCCAGCUGAUGCAAACAGAAAAAAAAAACCUAGCAAGGCAGGCUCACAAACAAAAGAGGGAGAACCUCACUGCUCCUUCUUUGCACAUCUGUUUUGGAGGAAUAUCUGUUGUUUCUGACGCGCACUGGGCUCGAAUGAGCACUGAAUCUGAGUCUUUCGCCUGGGAGUGGUGUGAGUGAAAACGGGGCCCGGAGCCACGAGUUGGGAGGAGAGAUGGCAGCCAGGGCGGCACGCUGACUGGAGGAGCGCCAGCUGCUCUCAACCAGAAAACACUUUCUGGAGGCCGGAUGGAACUCAGCAGAUCAUCAGAUUAUGGCAGCAAAUCCACGCAUGUAAGGAGGUCAGAAGACUCAUGGAGUGUUCCAGCUUUGCCCAGCUGACCUAGAGAUUUAAUAUGGAUCAGUGAGAGCUCACUGAAAGCGGAGCAUGGAGGAACACGACCACACUGCGGAGGAGGAAUGGUCGACACUUACCCCUGUUAGCACUUAAAGAGAAAAUCAUCUUGUUACAGUUGCUAGGAUUGUGACCUUUGGCUCUGUAAUUUAACAAGUGUUUAACAGAGAAAUGGAAAAGCAAAGAAAAUUUAGUGUCAGGAAACAUUAUUUUGAUAAUUCUGUAUCUCUGUGUUUCAUUUCAACCAUUAAACAUUUGAAGUGUCAAAUGUUUUCAAGGAAUUUCUUGAAAUAUUAAAUUUACAAUCAAUGAUUCGAAAUACAAAUUAACGUCACUUUUAACACUGUA